rnacentral:lncRNA from 1 species
CUCAAACACCACUGAACGGAGGUGUCGCAGUUAAAAAGUACUCACCCGAUCCUUACGCUGAUUUUAGGCAAUCAAUGCUAGAAAUGAUUGAAGCAAGAAAGCCAAGAGACGUGAAGGCUGAUUGGGACUACUUGCAUGAGUUGCUCUCUUGUUAUCUUAACUUGAACCCUAAACAGACUCACAAAUUUAUAAUUAGUGCUUUUGCUGAUAUAGUCAUUUGCUUACUAACCUCAUCUUCUUCGGAAUCCGACACCCUCCAGAAGCCUGAAGGACGCCGGCGGCAGCAUAAUGUUUCAAGUUGGUCGGUGCAGUAAUUGAUUAGUAACAUUUCUUUUUUGGUUAAGAAAUGUUAGAGAUAGUUUUUUGUUUUGUUCCUUGUUUAAUGGAGUUAAUUUUGUCUUUGGUGAAAAGGGAUGUUUCUCAUGGAAGAAGACAAAGGGUAAAAUAUGUAAUUUGUUAAUUUGGAAACCAAGGAAAGCGUGGGAUGUGUUAAUGUCUCGAUGCAUGUUAUGAAUAUAUUUUUACUUUAAAUUGAGAAAUUUGUUCUUUUGUUGAUAAGAGACCAACAUGACAAAUAAUGCAUGUGUGUGUUCUCUUGUUUUAAAUGUUUCUUAUCUCGGACCUUAAUUUGAUUCAAUUCAAUUGCCCAAUUGCUGAUAACAGCCGACCUCAUUUAUUGCUUGUGAAUAUUUUGCUACGGUCGGUGGUCCCAUUCGGCAGCAUAUAUAUAUAUAUUAGCUAUAGGAACUAACAUGUAUUUGGGAGUUUCUGUGCACACAUUUAAAUACCUACUUUCAUGGGGGCAGGACACCUGGUUCUAACACAGUUGUUACUUGGAUCAGUGUAUAUAAUUGCUUCUUCUAGGUUUUAGUUUUGAAAUAGACAGGCAAAAAUAGAUAUAAUGAGUGUUUUUUACAGGGGAGAUAUUGUAUGUAUAUACAUUUUCAAUUGGAUAAGUUUUGAAGAUACUAAAUCCAUUUUCUAGUUUUUCUCUAAUAGUUGUAAACGUUUCAAUUUAAUCAUUUCUUUAACAGAGAAGUGAGCACUAAGAGAGUUUAAAUUCGAAUUAAGCUACGUAUUUUUAAACGAAAUUAAAGGGCACAUGACUUUGGCAAAAAUAGAAUAUAAUUAAAAUACUAUCCUCAGCCAUCAUUCAUAUACUAGUUGAAUAUCUCUAGUGCUUGUACUUAUACUGUCACGUAAAGAGUAAGAAAAAUGACUAGUAUAAGUAGUAUUAUAACGAAUAACUAAAUAUUUAUAAACUAAAAAUAAAAGAUUAUUGAAUUAGUCUGAAUUAUUUUAUCUACCAUUAUCCAGAGACUAAAUCCAUUAUGCAACCAGAAUCGAUUUGACGCGAGUGGUUGAAUAUGGUGUAUGUAAAUAUAUAGGAAAAUUUGUCCAAAUUAUAAGCUAUAAAUUGCUUCUGCAUGAAUACCAUCCAAAAAAAGGUGCAUUGAAAACCCCAUAUGUGUAUAGAAGACAGCAAGGUUUGAGAAUGGAGUAUGUCAAAGAGAACACUAUAAUAAUUUAAAUUCUGUUUUUUCUCUGUUUUAUAGAGGGCAGAAGGGAAGACAAACCAAGAGGAUCCAAAGAGAUACUAACGAUUAUCAACGAAUGAAAAGCAGGGGGAUAUAAUAAUAACUAUAGCAAAAGAAUGCAAUAUUUAGACCCAUCAUAAUUUAUACUUGCCCCCCAAAAAAAGUUAGUUGGUUUAGGUAAGGCUAACACCAGACCAUUUGUCCUUUGUGUUUCAAUUAUUAAAAAUCAUGAGUCCUCAUUUUUGGGUUGUGAGUUAUGACGUUUGGUGGGAUGUGGAGUACUAAAUCAAAAUGUGCCUCCUAAAGAGGUAACAAUCAGACGGUCCUGAUCAAUUACAAGAUUCAUUAGGACAUGAAAACAGGUGAAAAUAACCAAUCAAAAGCACACAAAAGAUAAAUUGAAGAUUGAUAAAGCGUGAAAGAAAUGAGGCCAAAUGCAAACACUUUGUGCAUGUAAGUAAUAAACAAGUAAUGCCAAAAAAAACUCAACUGACCUUACAGAAUCUUAUAACAUUUGCCUAUGGUGUGUGAUCUUUUUACUUUCCCAUAAAAGACACCAACUUUGAACGAAGAGCAAGAGCAGAUAUGUUAGGACGGCCUCCAAAAUGCUCAUUACAUGACAAAGUUCUUCCAAUAAAAGAUUAUCUUCUUUAUCUUACUUUUUCACAUAAAAUUACAAUCUUUUUGGCUGGUUAGGUUCACAUAAAAAGACUGAUUAUGACAAGAACUUGCUAGCAUGGGUAAAAGAUCAUACAAACAAAACAUGUUUAGAGUCCCAUAAGUUUUAUGACAAAAGCCGACAACUUUACCAACCAUGGAAGAGUUAAAAUGUAUUAAUGGUACUGCCCAAGUUCAACUUUUUCAGACUAAUAGUACAUACUUGCAUAUAAACUUGAGGCGAUUUAUAUGCACAUAAUGUUGUAGGAUGAGAAGGUCUCUUCUCCUGUAUCAGCCAAAGUUCCUUUCUUUCUUUUUUCUGUUGUUUUGUCUGGAGUAAUUUGAAGGAUUACCCUCUGAAGAUGUUCGAUAGGGAAAUAUUUAAAAGUGGGUCCAUUUUUUAUGUAUAGAUGAAAGUAAAGUAAAUUCGUAUCUUAUUGACAAUGGCCAUUACUGAACCUUUUCUUUUUCAGUGAAAAAAGAAGACCAUGAUUGAACUUAGGCUGCUAUUGAUGCACGAGGCACUAUCCAAAUGUGCAUGUACCGCCAGUUGUUAAUUGCAAAUUAGCAUGUGCUUACUAACUCCAUUGAAUUUUGAUCACCAAAUUUAUGUGAAAAGUCCUUGUAAAUCUUAAUAGUAUAAUCAUAAAAGCCUAAGAUAGACAAUAUAUGUAUGUAACUUGACUUAAAUAUAGCAUUGGGAUGGCAUUGUCUAUACACGAUCUCUCACUUCUACACGAACAUAUUCAUAUAAGGACUCUAAAUUAUGAACACAUUUCUGUAACUCUAUUUAUAAAAAAGAAAAAGAGCCAAAGAGAAAGAUAUAAGAUUGCUUUACCUCAUAUCCAACGUCAUAUUUAACUAAAUUUUCAAUGUUAGUUAAUUGGGAAUAAUGCACCAUAUGGAGAUCUUCAGCUGCUGGCACACAAGUCCAAAAUGUUCAUGGUUGUCAGUUUAUAGAUAUUCAUCAUGCCAUUCAAGGGGAAAGUGAUUUUCUAGACCUCGAGAUUUUUGCUUUCGGGUCCAAUCAAAAUGAUAAUUUAUACACGUAUAUAUGCCAAAUCUGUUAAUGUCGGAGCAUACAGUUUCACUGUAUUACAUAAUGCAGAGACUAUUAAAGCACACAAGUAAUUUCAGAAUUUGCAAGAGGGAUGAUGAAGUAGUGUGUGUCAAAAUUUGUCUGAUUGUGGUGAAUGCAGCAUGCCGAUGAUGGGCAGAGAAGAGUGGAAAAACAUUAAUUACAAAUGGAGCUCCUGUUUCAUGGGUCGUGGCUUUUCUCUUAUAAUUAUUUUUUUGGUUUCUCCUUGGGAAUUGUAUUGUCAAGUUAAUUGAAUAGCAUUUUGGCUUUUGUAUUUCUAUUCUUGUCUCUGUGGAUGGAUAGUGACAAUAUAUAUAUCCAUACUGGCUCCUUUCUUUCUUUUUUCACUGUAUAUAUGAUUGUUUCGACUCCACAACCACAUUCCAGCUCUCAUCAAUCACCAAUCAAGGGUUCUGUUCUUGACAAUACUGCUGGCUGGCGCACAUGGUGUUGAGACUUGAAAGUCAAAUGCUUAUUUCGAUGUCUAAGGGUUUCCACAUAUUUAUUUUUUUCUCAAACAAGUAAAAUAAUUCAUAUUGUUCAGCCAAGCCUAUACGUAGCAGUAGUGCAAGUAAAAUAGUUUAUAUGUUCGGUCAAUCAAACUUCAUACUCUUACAUGUUUAAAUAGUUUUU